GAUGAACGCUGGCGGCGUGCCUAAUACAUGCAAGUCGAGCGAACAGACGAUGAGCUUGCUCCUCUGACGUUAGCGGCGGACGGGUGAGUAACACGUGGAUAACCUACCUAUAAUACUGGGAUAACUUCGGAAAACCGGAUCUAAUACCGUAUAAUAUAUUGAACCGUGUUGUUGAAUGGUGAAAGACGGUUGUGCUGUCACUUAUAGAUGGUUCCGCGCAGCAUUAGCUAGUUGGUAAGGUAACAGCUUUCCAAGGCAACGAUGCGUAGACGACCUGAGAGAGGGAUCGCCCACACUGGAAGUGAGACGCCGACAAGACUCCUACGGGAGGGAGCAGUCGGGAAUGGUCGGCAGCGGGCGAAAACAUGACGCAACAGCGCGAAGUGAGAGACAACGACCCUCGGAUCGUGAAGACCUGUUAUUGGUGAAAAACAACUGUGGACGUAAACAAGCCCGUAUUGACGGUAACUAAUAAGAAAGCACCGGCUAACUACGUG
rnacentral:rRNA from 1 species